CCUACGGGCGGCUGCAGUGGGGAAUAUUGGACAAUGGGGGCAACCCUGAUCCAGCCAUGCCGCGUGUGUGAAGAAGGCCCUCGGGUUGUAAAGCACUUUCAGUGAGGAAGAACGCCUGGUGGUUAAUACCCAUCAGGAAAGACAUCACUCACAGAAGAAGCACCGGCUAACUCCGUGCCAGCAGCCGCGGUAAUACGGAGGGUGCGAGCGUUAAUCGGAAUUACUGGGCGUAAAGCGCGCGUAGGUGGCUUGAUAAGCCGGUUGUGAAAGCCCCGGGCUCAACCUGGGAACGGCAUCCGGAACUGUCAAGCUAGAGUGCAGGAGAGGAAGGUAGAAUUCCCGGUGUAGCGGUGAAAUGCGUAGAGAUCGGGAGGAAUACCAGUGGCGAAGGCGGCCUUCUGAGCUGACACUGACACUGAGGUGCGAAAGCGUGGGUAGCAAACAGGAUUAGAUACCCUGGUAGUC
rnacentral:rRNA from 1 species